UACGGGGGGUGCAAGCGUUGUUCGGAAUUAUUGGGCGUAAAGAGCGUGUAGGCGGCUUGGUAAGUCAGACGUGAAAGCCCUGGGCUUAACCCGGGAAGUGCGUUUGAAACUGCUUGGCUAGAGUAGGGGAGAGGGAAGUGGAAUUCCUGGUGUAGAGGUGAAAUUCGUAGAUAUCAGGAGGAACACCGGUGGCGAAGGCGACUUCCUGGCCCUAUACUGACGCUGAGACGCGAGAGCGUGGGUAGCAAACAGG
rnacentral:rRNA from 1 species